UACAAAUACAAUAGAAUUUUUGUAUAUAAUUUGAUGCGGUCUGGUACUGCACUAAUCAAAUAUCUUCAUGCUGCUAGAAAUCAUUGUCUUUUGAUGUUCCUGACUUAGCUUAUUGUCUUAUCAUGCUAUUUUAAAAUAUAGGGGAGUACGAUACAAGGGAUAAAAUUGAAGAUAACCUAGAGAUGCAAAAAAAGGGCCUAUAAUUAAGGAGAUAUAUGGAGAUGUUAUUGGGCCUCAGGUGGACUUCCUAAUUUGUAGGCAGGAACAUGGUUGUAGGGAAACUGUAGUAGGGAUGGCAACUUCAAAUUAAUGCUUCUGUCAUUGGUCUGAUUUUUGGCAACCUGUUUAUUUUGUUUGGCAAUGACUUCUAAAGUUUGAUAAUUUGCGCUACUAGAACAGAUUUCUGUGGUUUCAGACCUUCAGAAAUUUCUGUGGUAACGCACAAGUUUUUUCUAAGGAAGCACGAUAGUUUGGCACUUGAAAGAGAUAUAAUUACCUAAGCAUGUGGCCAUAUAAAUGAGGUAUUUGGCACCCCAACGCUAUGAUCUAUUGAUAAUUAUAUCUUUGAAUUAAAUGCAAGGUUCUGGUUAAUCUGUUUCCAAAUUAGUUAGUCCCUUUGUUGCUAUGAAAUGAUACAUGAGGGGAUUAAACCCUAAAUCAUGCCAUCUUUUUGCCUCUGGGUUGUGGUGCAGAGUUUCCUUCAUCCGGUGCUCGGAGUCAUUCGGUAGGGGGAGGACACAUGGAGAGAGUCUCUGAACGGUGGAGCACCCCGCCCUACCUCAUCUCGACCACCACGCAACUAGGCUUGUGACAUCAUGGAUUGGGGAAGCGCUGAUCCAGUCUGAUGAUGGCAAACAUGACCAUGUAUCUGAGGAGGUAGCCUUUGCAUAUAUGAUGAAGUACAAGAGGUACCAACGGGUGUGUGUUGUAUAUACAGUUCUAUCUUUCUGUACAUUCCAACAUGUAUAUUCUCCAAGGGUUUAUUGCUUCAUCGCUUGAAUUUUCCUCACUGCCACUAUGAUGACAUCAAAUACGGACAGUCUCACUGUAUUGCAUUGACACACAUUUACCAACUACUUCCCGGUGCUUAUUAAGCACCACACACGACAACCGCGGGCACGACCAUCAGCUCGAGCCAUGCUAGAACUAGACCGGUCGGCACCGCGCGUGUGGCAGUGGUGGCUGGUCCUCGCAAGGGAUUUGGAGGGCCCCAACUUCGUCUAUGAUGUCUGCAGAAAAUUAAGGAACCUGCAAUGGUGGUAUCCAUUUCAUUGCUCUCUUCCUUGAUUCUUUCUUGAUUUUGCAUGUAGCAGAUCAGAUUUGAUGCCUCUUUUACUGGCAACUAAUGAACAAUAAACUUUCCUCUGUUGGUUUAGUUGACUAUCCUGGCCAGUGAUAAUUUAGUCCUGGUACACAAUCAAAAUGAUGAUCAUGUAAUAGUAAUGCACUUACUGUUCUUGCAUAUAAAAAAGAUGCAUGCAACAGCAAACAUCGUAUUUACAUAACUUAUUGGUUGAAAAUUGAGCAAACAUUUGCUGUGAUUGUGAAAUAUACUUAUGCAAUCAGAAGACAUAUGUGUCAAAAUUUUGGCCUCUCUAUCUCCUAAUUUUUACUUGCCUAGUUGCUCUUAAAAUAAUUCAAUCUGAUGCCAGUUCCAAGUUCAAAUCCUGGUCAUGUUCAUCUAAUAUGUUCUCAGCAUUGGUGAAAAUUGAUUUUAUAAUCGGGUAUUGUUUUGUUGUUUCAGAAUAAUAUUCCAUCCUAAGGAAUCAGGGAUUUGGUUUUAACGAGUUCAUUAAGGAAAAGUAAAGGGGCACAUGUGAUAGAUGCAUGACUGCCUCUGAGAAGGAGCCUGAGAUAAAACAACUCUUGGCAGUAAAAACUUAGGCCUGAUCAACGCAUUCAGUUUUCCAUCUUCUGAUCCUUGAGCCCUUAGAUGGUUGUUUGUUAUUGGAUGUGUUAAUUUCCAUCAUAGUGGCAUCUAUAGAAUUUUGUGUGUUUGAUAAUGUCAUUGGAAUUUUGUAUCUAGCCAUUAAUCCUCCGACCGAGAUUGAAGGUUGAUAUUGAUGAGUGCUACUGCAAACAUAGAAUUGAUCUCAGGCUACUAUAGAGAGCACGCAGCCACCUACUAUCCACGUUCCCAUGUCAUUGGUAUGGUGACUGGUAUUUUGCCUAUUGUCAACAUUGGUCCUAAAGGUCGUCCAGUGCCUAAGAGAACUUGAUGACUCAGUGAUAAAAGGUUCACAUUGCUUUCUUCUAUGGUAAACAUGUCCUUCAAAUAUGGUGUCUACGACGACAUUUCUUAUUGUGCGACGCUAUUCAUUCAUGCAUAGAUUUGUGUGUCCUUCUAGGAAGACAAUUAUAAAGGAUAUUUAGAGCAAGAACAGUGAAGCUCUCAAAGUUGUAGACCGAUACCGUAGAAUUUAAUGCCAA